GAGACCGCUCCGUGCGUGAAGCUUUAUCCUGCGGGAGGCUCCAGGAGCGCGGCCGCCCAUUCCCGACCCCGAUGACGUCACAGAGAAGGGAUGAUCUGAAAAAAAAAAAAGAAAAAAACUCAGCUGUGCUGCUUUACAUCAGCUGAAGCAAAAGUGGAUUAUGGAGCACACAGAGCCAUCACCCAUCUGCUAAUCUGAGCCCCAAAGGAAAGGGAGUUCAGCUGAUCCUCUGAGAUCUGCCAAUGACCUGGAAGGAGCCUUUCUGUCUCCUGAUUUUAGAUUCUUUCCGGACUGACAGUCUGCACUGUGCAGGACAUACAGGAUGGACGAGAAGAGCCCCAAAAGUCAAAGUCACGUGCAGCUUUCUCCUGUAUUAAUCCAAUGAUGCAAGAAGUAAGAAAGCAUUGGUCAAGAUUGGCUUGUUUUUAUUCUUAUCCAGAUUCGAAAACAUUUUUAAUCUUUUUUUUUAGACAUUUGAUUUUUUGUUUUCCUGAAGUUGUCCAAUCCAGUGGGCCACAAGAAAAAAAUGAAGGAAUUAUAUGACUCAUACUAAAAAAAAAGAUUUUAAGUAAAUUUACUUGUAGUUACACCAACUGACCACUGAAUUGAACUCAAUGGACUGUGGCAGCAGAGAGCACUCAAGUGACUGAAAUAAGUGACUGGCAUUUCAGUUAUGUAAAUGGAAAUUAUGCAUUUCAGUUAUGCAAUUAUGCAAUGUGGUUCCACCACAGAAACCAAUGCACUAAAGAAAGUAGUACAUUUUAGUAGCUUUCUACUAUUUAUCUAAUUGUUUAUUUGUAACCCCAUUAGCUUCCGCAAAGUGGUCAGUAGUCUUUCUGGGGUCCAUAAGCUUAAAAUGCACAAAUUUUACAAGUUGCAAAAAACUUUAAAGGAUUUCAAAAAAUGUAAAAAACAAUUAAUCAUAUUUACAUUAAAAGCCAAAAUGUUCAUAUGAAUCGUAGAGAAGAGUGAUAUACAGAGUCCAGAAGUUUCAGCACUUAUUUUGGUUUGUUCAUAUUAAUAAGAUCUCCAUAGUCUAAAAUUGAUUUUUAAAAAAAAGUGGCCUCAGCUAAGUUUUUCCUUGUAUUAAAAUAUAUACAUAACCUGUUUCUAAAAUAAAAACCAAUUUUCAAUCUUAAUUUCUUUACCAAUUGCUCAAUAUGUUCCUUAAUUUUAAGAUUGUUAUCGAUUAAGAUGCCAAGGUCUUUAAAAGAUUUAACGGUCUCUAUUUAUGUCCCCUGAAGAAUGACAACUGUGUGAUCAACAUGUGCAGUUCUUUGUUUUUGAAAAGAGCAUUAAUUUGCUCUUGUUUGCAUUUAGAGAAAGCUCAAUCUUUAGAAGUCUGUCCUGAAUAACAUUAAAAUCAUUUUGUAAUGCAGACA